rnacentral:rRNA from 1 species
CGGGCGACGGUUGUCCCGGUUUAAGCGUGUAGGCUGGUUUUCCAGGCAAAUCCGGAAAAUCAAGGCUGAGGCGUGAUGACGAGGCACUGCGGUGCUGAAGCAACAAAUGCCCUGCUUCCAGGAAAAGCCUCUAAGCAUCAGGUAACAUCAAAUCGUACCCCAAACCGACACAGGUGGUCAGGUAGAGAAUACCAAGGCGCUUGAGAGAACUCGGGUGAAGGAACUAGGCAAAAUGGUGCCGUAACUUCGGGAGAAGGCACGCUGAUAUGUAGGUGAAGUCCCUCGCGGAUGGAGCUGAAAUCAGUCGAAGAUACCAGCUGGCUGCAACUGUUUAUUAAAAACACAGCACUGUGCAAACACGAAAGUGGACGUAUACGGUGUGACGCCUGCCCGGUGCCGGAAGGUUAAUUGAUGGGGUUAGCGCAAGCGAAGCUCUUGAUCGAAGCCCCGGUAAACGGCGGCCGUAACUAUAACGGUCCUAAGGUAGCGAAAUUCCUUGUCGGGUAAGUUCCGACCUGCACGAAUGGCGUAAUGAUGGCCAGGCUGUCUCCACCCGAGACUCAGUGAAAUUGAACUCGCUGUGAAGAUGCAGUGUACCCGCGGCAAGACGGAAAGACCCCGUGAACCUUUACUAUAGCUUGACACUGAACAUUGAGCCUUGAUGUGUAGGAUAGGUGGGAGGCUUUGAAGUGUGGACGCCAGUCUGCAUGGAGCCGACCUUGAAAUACCACCCUUUAAUGUUUGAUGUUCUAACGUUGACCCGUAAUCCGGGUUGCGGACAGUGUCUGGUGGGUAGUUUGACUGGGGCGGUCUCCUCCUAAAGAGUAACGGAGGAGCACGAAGGUUGGCUAAUCCUGGUCGGACAUCAGGAGGUUAGUGCAAUGGCAUAAGCCAGCUUGACUGCGAGCGUGACGGCGCGAGCAGGUGCGAAAGCAGGUCAUAGUGAUCCGGUGGUUCUGAAUGGAAGGGCCAUCGCUCAACGGAUAAAAGGUACUCCGGGGAUAACAGGCUGAUACCGCCCAAGAGUUCAUAUCGACGGCGGUGUUUGGCACCUCGAUGUCGGCUCAUCACAUCCUGGGGCUGAAGUAGGUCCCAAGGGUAUGGCUGUUCGCCAUUUAAAGUGGUACGCGAGCUGGGUUUAGAACGUCGUGAGACAGUUCGGUCCCUAUCUGCCGUGGGCGCUGGAGAACUGAGGGGGGCUGCUCCUAGUACGAGAGGACCGGAGUGGACGCAUCACUGGUGUUCGGGUUGUCAUGCCAAUGGCACUGCCCGGUAGCUAAAUGCGGAAGAGAUAAGUGCUGAAAGCAUCUAAGCACGAAACUUGCCCCGAGAUGAGUUCUCCCUGACUCCUUGAGAGUCCUGAAGGAACGUUGAAGACGACGACGUUGAUAGGCCGG